UGUUCUAGCAAUACUCCACUUCUGGAUCUGAGUGUUGGUUACAUGGAUAUGUUGUUCAGAUUUCAAAUAUCUGCUGCACCACAUGCACUUAUGAUCUGUGAUUUUUGCUAUACUUUUAACUAUAGCUCUGUGACCCCAGAACUAUGCCCUUUAUCCAGAAGGGUGUGGUUAUAAAGCCCAUAAACGUAACAAACAGUCCCCAAAGGGUGCAAUAGCACAAAAGCAAUAGAAAUUUACUUC
rnacentral:lncRNA from 1 species